UACGAAGGGGGGCAAGCGUUGUUCGGAAUUACUGGGCGUAAAGGGCGCGUAGGCGGCCGCCUUUGUCAGGUGUGAAAGCCCCAGGCUCAACCUGGGAAUUGCACUUGGGACGGGGUGGCUUGAGUCCGGGAGAGGUGAGUGGAACUGCGAGUGUAGAGGUGAAAUUCGUAGAUAUCGAGAGGAACACCGGUGGCGAAGGCGGCCUUCUGGACAGUGACGUGACGCAUGAGA
rnacentral:rRNA from 1 species